AACGAACGCUGGCGGCAUGCCUAACACAUGCAAGUCGAACGAGACCUUCGGGUCUAGUGGCGCACGGGUGCGUAACGCGUGGGAACCUGCCCUGAGGUUCGGAAUAACUCCCCGAAUGGGGUGCUAAUACCGGCUAUUGUCCUCGGUCCAAAGAUUUAUCGCCUUUGGAUGGGCCCGCGUUGGAUUAGCUAGUUGGUAGGGUAAAAGCCUACCAAGGCGACGAUCCAUAGCUGGUCUGAGAGGAUGAUCAGCCACACUGGGAGUGGGACACGGCCCAGACUCCUACGGGAGGCAGCAGUGGGGAAUAUUGGACAAUGGGCGAAAGCCUGAUCCAGCAAUGCCGCGUGAGUGAUGAAGGCCUUAGGGUUGUAAAGCUCUUUUACCCGGGAUGAUAAUGACAGUACCGGGAGAAUAAGCUCCGGCUAACUCCGUG
rnacentral:rRNA from 1 species